UCAAAAUUGCAUUAGCUGUUUGAAUGACUGGUUCAAGCUCAAAUCGUUAAUAUGGUUGUAAAACAAUGGUUCUAAUGCAAAAUAACUAAAUAAAACAGGAACAAAGGGAAUUGAGAGGAUGUAAACUUCAUAUAUCCAGGUGAAAAGCUUCACCUCAACCGUUCUCCACAAUUACAGGCUUUUAUAACCCCCAACAGUUCUUCCUUCCCACCAUAAAAAUGCCCCCCAUUUGCUCCCCCGCCUUCCUAUUUACACCCCCCAACAACAAACAUCAAAAAGAAGUAAUUCAAAACCCUAAACCCCUACUCUCUCUUCCCAUUUUCCUUCUUACCCUCCCAUAUACUUUCUUCACCACUUCCCCUACAGUUUCAGUUAACAACAACGGGAUCGAUGUACUGAUUUCUGUUAUCAGUCUCUAGUUACUUAUCAGUAGUUUGUAUCAGUCGUCAUGUAGAAUUUUCCAUCUGUGUUCGUUCCUCAAUCAAAUCAACCUCAGGAACAUUUAAGCUAGUUGAACUAAGUUUGAAUGAGGCAAUUGUUUCAGUUUAUAGCAAGAAUUGUAUGUUAGUGGCAACAUACAACAUAUAAUUAUUUUUGGCCUCUUACUGCAUUUACUUCAUUGUGGAAAGUGAAUCGCCUGAAAUUUAAACAGCACCGGAAAAGUUCGCUUUCAAAUGACUUUGUCGUGAUCUAAUUUUCUCGCAUGGUCAGAAAAAUACUCAAGAUUUUAUCCAUCAAACCAAGACCUCAAUGCUCUGAGCCUCAACCUGAUUAUAGUUUCCGAGGAAAAUCGUUUGCAAUAACAAACACUGAACAGAUUGUUCCAAUCCUGGUUUAACCGUCUAAACCGAAAUUGCAGUUGAACCGUGAUUCAAACCCAAUUAUAUCAAAAUCGCAUUAGCUGUUUUAAUGACUGGUUCAAGCUCAAAUCGUUAAUAUGGUUGUCAAACACUGGUUCUAAUGCAAAAUAACUAAACAAAACAGGAACAAAAGGAAUUGAGAGGAUGUAAACUUCAUAUAUCCAGGUGAAAAGCUUCACCUCAACCCUUCUCCACAAUUACAGGCUUUUAUAACCCCAAAAGUUCUUCCCUUGCCACCAUAAAAAUGCCCCCCAUUUGCUCCCCCACCUUCCUAUUUACACCCCCCAACAACAAACAUCAAAAAGAAGUAAUUCAAAACCCU
rnacentral:lncRNA from 1 species